rnacentral:rRNA from 1 species
UACGAAGGGGGCUAGCGUUGCUCGGAUUUACUGGGCGUAAAGGGCGCGUAGGCGGACAGUUAAGUCGGGGGUGAAAGCCCGGGGCUCAACCUCGGAAUUGCCUUCGAUACUGGCUGUCUUGAGUACGGGAGAGGUGUGUGGAACUCCGAGUGUAGAGGUGAAAUUCGUAGAUAUUCGGAAGAACACCAGUGGCGAAGGCGACUUACUGGACACAUACUGACGCUGAGGUGCGAAAGCGUGGGGAGCAAACAGG